UACGUAGGGUGCAAGCGUUAAUCGGAAUUACUGGGCGUAAAGCGUGCGCAGGCGGUUUUGUAAGUCUGUCGUGAAAUCCCCGGGCUCAACCUGGGAAUUGCGAUGGAGACUGCAAGGCUAGAAUCUGGCAGAGGGGGGUAGAAUUCCACGUGUAGCAGUGAAAUGCGUAGAGAUGUGGAGGAACACCGAUGGCGAAGGGCAGCCCCCUGGGUCAAGAUUGACGCUCAUGCACGAAAGGCGUGGGGAGCAAACAGGAUUAGAGU
rnacentral:rRNA from 1 species